rnacentral:rRNA from 1 species
AUUGAACGCUGGCGGCAUGCCUUACACAUGCAAGUCGAACGGCAGCACGGGAGCAAUCCUGGUGGCGAGUGGCGAACGGGUGAGUAAAGUAUCGGAACGUGCCCAGUCGUGGGGGAUAACGUAGCGAAAGUUACGCUAAUACCGCAUACGAUCUAUGGAUGAAAGCGGGGAUCGCAAGACCUCGCGCGAUUGGAGCGGCCGAUAUCAGAUUAGGUAGUUGGUGGGGUAAAGGCUCACCAAGCCGACGAUCUGUAGCUGGUCUGAGAGGACGACCAGCCACACUGGGACUGAGACACGGCCCUGACUCCUACGGGAGGCAGCAGUGGGGAAUCUUGGACAAUGGGCGCAAGCCUGAUCCAGCCAUGCCGCGUGCAGGAUGAAGGCCUUCGGGUUGUAAACUGCUUUUGUACGGAACGAAAAGGUUUGACUUAAUACGUUGGACUCAUGACGGUACCGUAAGAAUAAGCACCGGCUAACUACGUGCCAGCAGCCGCCGUAACAC